AUGUACUCGUCGCAGUCGCUGAGCCGCGUCAACAAUAUCCGUACCUCGCUCAUCAACGCGCAGAAGGUAAACCAGUCCGCCGCCGCCUACUUCGCCACCAUGCGCGGCCUCGCGGAUGAGCUGGCUGCGGCCGGCAAACCCAUCCAGGACGAUGAACUGUUCUCAUACAUCCUCCACGGGCUGGAUCUGGAGUACCAGCCCCUCGUCUCCGCCCUCGACACUCGCGUCAGACCCGCCUCCCUCGACGAGAUCUUCUCCAUGCUCAGCAACUUCGAUCAGCGCAUGGUGCAGUUCCAGGACUCCGGCGGUGGUGGCUUCAAGUCCUCUGCAAACCUCGCUACCCGUGGUCGUCGCGACAGCUCUCGCUACUGCGGUCCUUCCCGUGGCAAGGGCAGGGCUGGUGGUGCCAGGAGCAGCAGCAAUGGUGGAACCAUUGGUGGUGGCUCCCGUGAAAACAGGGGUUGCCGUGGUGGCGGCUCUGGCCAUACUCGCCCGGACGCCCCACGCUAUCAGAUCUGUGGCAAACCAGGUCACACCGCCAAGGACUGCUGGUACCGAUAUGAUGAAGACGAGGACGACUCUCAAGAUGAUGACAAGAUCGCUGCGGCGGCUGAUGGCUCCUACGGCAUCGACACCAACUGGUACCUCGACAGCAGCGCCAACAAUCAUCUCACCAGAGAGCUCGAAAAGGUGACCCUCCGUAAGAAGUACCACAGCAAGGAUCAAAUUCACACCGCCGAUGGUGCAGGUAUGAGCAUCAGCAACAUUGGUCAUUUAGUUAUACAUACCCCUCAUCGUAAGAUUCAUCUUAGAAAUUUUUUUGCAUGUCCCUAG
rnacentral:rRNA from 1 species